GCCACCGUGGCUCAGCUGGCAGAGCGUUCGCUUGGUAAGCGAGAGGCCCCGGGUUCAAAUCCCGGCGGUGGCA
rnacentral:tRNA from 1 species